UCCCAGGUUAGCCUGGUGACAGGCACAUGCUGUUGGCCUCAAGCAAGGAAGCAGAGCACUAUGUAACCAGCAGUCACAGCUUUUUUCUUGGUGUUCCUGCCUGGCUCUCUCCCUCUCUGCACCUGUCUCAUACCCUCGAAUAUCUUAAUUCCUUAGGCUUGAGAGAGAGAGCCUUAAUGGAUGCUCAUUCAUAUUCCUGCCUUUCUUCCAUCAGCUCUCUGCAAAGAUGAUUUUGCUUCUCCCUAGUGCUGGUAUACUAUAGAGAAACCCCCGAGGACCAUGUGAUUAAGUUCCUAUCUUUUGAAAGUUUGUUCUGCAGAGACAUCUAGGAGGAUGCUGUGCCUCCCAAGCUCAGAGCAGCCUCUGUCCUGGCUGUGCACAUUCUCGAUUCCACUUGUAUGGAGGGAUUGAACACAGGCAAAGAGGUGCUGCUUUCCUUCUUCAAUGGCACCUUCAUUCUCCAUUGUCAUUGACUUCAAGAUGCCUCUUCUACCUCUACCAGGAAGCACAGGCCAGGGGAUCUGGGUGUGUGAAUGGGAGGAGAGAGCAGAG
rnacentral:lncRNA from 1 species